ACAACUUUCAGCAAUGGAUACCUCGGCUCGGACACCGAUGAAGGGCGCAGCGAACUGUGAUAAGCAUUGUGAAUUGCAGAAUUCCGUGAACCAACAGAAUCUUGAACGUAUACUGUGCUCUCGGGAUAUGCCUGAGAGCAUGCCUGCUUCAGUGUCUCUU
rnacentral:rRNA from 1 species